GGCUACAAUUAAAAGCUGUAUACAAUUAGAACUCUAAGACACAAUUAGAAGCUGUAUACAAUUAGAACUCUAAGAUUACAUAAUCAUAUCUUCUUGGAUCACUUCCCAUAUUUACCAGGCUCUUGGGAUGGGCUUUUAAUCUCUCCAGGCAACGGGCCAUUUGGUUGGGCUAAAUGACCUCCCUCAAAUACGAUGGAUCGCACAAGUUUGUCAUGGUUGCGUGCUCCCAUGCGCAACCCAUGACACUAACACGUGGUCAAAACCACUACUAUCUCAUAUUAAUGCUCUCUCUCGAGCCAUAACUGGGUCUGUUCACACAAGCUGUCAGUCAAGACGUAGCUACAUGGUGUUGCUCACAAAAGCUGUAAAGUAACCACAACACACGCCGAAAACUCAGUCACUGGUAGGACGUACGAGACCAGCACCCAAAACAUGGUAACCCCUAAUGACAUGUCAUUUGUAUCCUAUCAUUAAGAAUAUAAUAAUAAAAAUUUAAAUCAAAUAUAAUUUAAUGCUUAUUAAACAUACAAACUUACCUCGAAUUUGUUCAGAGAAAAUCGAUCGAUUACUCCAACGCUUUAUCUUUUUCCCGAUCAAAUUCCGUACGUUGCUUUUCUUAAUCUAUAUAAUCAAAUUUAACUAAUUUCAACCUCAUUCUAUUCAAUUCAAUCCAAAAUCAUGUUAUGGCAAAAUUACUAUUUUACCCCUAUACUUUUGUCUUCUUUACAAUUUAGUCCCUAGGCUCGUAAAAAUGAAAUUCAUGAAAUUUCACCCCUAACCAAACCUAGUCGAAUUUAAUAUAUGCUUAUAGCAACCCAUACAUUUCACAAUUUCACACAUUUACCAUACAAUUUUCACAUUUCUCAAUUUAAUCCCUAAUUAACAAUUUCAUUAAAAACCACUUAACAAAAGUUGUUUAACUCACAAUAAAGAUUCAUUUUCUUCCAUUAAACUUCACAAACAAUUAAAAAAUACUCAUGGUAAAACCCUAGACAUUCAACCAUUUUGAAAAUUAGUCACUUAGUUAGCUAGGUUAAGCUACCACGAUCUCGAAAACAUAAAAAAAAAUGAUAGCUUAUUUCUUUUAUUAAUUUAACCUUUAAUUACCAAAUUACCAAAUUACCCUUACCUAGCUUUAAAAAUAAAAAAAUUGCCAAGCCAUGCACAUCCACUAUCACCUUUAAUGGUCUAAUUACCAUAUAAGUACCUUCACUUUAAAGUUCUAUAACUAUUUAAUACCUUUAGCUAUUAGAACAUAACUUUUGCAUUUUACGCGAUUUAGUCCUUUUCAUCAAAUUGAACAUGCAAACGGUAAAAUUUCUUAACAAAAUUUUUAUACUAUAAUACUAUCAUGCUGUAGAUCAAAAAAUAAUAUUAAAAUAAUUUUUUUGACUUCAGAUUUGUGAUUCUGAUACCACUGUUCUGAUUUAAUUGAAAACGGACUGUUACAUAUUUGGCUUCCAAUUAUGUUGGCAAUAAAUAUAAUCUAUUUCAAUUAAGAAAUAAUUAUAUUCAUAGAUCAUAAGCGGGAUCUAACAACCCAUCAUAAGCCUUAAUUAUUAGAAUAGUCAAAAUAUUUUUUUUGACAAAUUCUUUCAGAGUUCAGUAUUUAUGUGUAAUUAAUACUUCCAUCAUAUAUUCAGAUAAGCUAAAAGUCUUGACACAGUGUCUACCUUUUUUUAUCCAUGUUAGUCUUGCAACUUCUUGUAUUAACCUUGACUAAUUGCCUUGGCUAA
rnacentral:lncRNA from 1 species